rnacentral:lncRNA from 1 species
AUGGGUUCCGUGUCACCCGGGUUCCGUGUCACCUGGGUUCUGUGCCAAAUGGGUUCUGUGUCACCUGGGUUCUGGGUCACCUGGGUUCUGUGCCAAAUGGGUUCCGUGUCACCCGGGUUCUUUGUCACCUGGGUUCUGUGCCAAAUGGGUUCCGUGUCACCCGGGUUCUUUGUCACCUGGGUUCUGUGCCAAAUGGGUUCCGUGGCACCUGGGUUCUGGGUCACCUGGGUUCUGGGUCACCUGGGUUCCGUGCCAAAUGGGUUCCGUGUCACCCGGGUUCUUUGUCACCUGGGUUCUGUGCCAAAUGGGUUCCGUGUCACCCAGGUUCCGUGCCAGAUGGGUUCUGUGCCAAAUGGGUUCCGUAUCACCUGGGUUCUGGGUCACCUGGGUUCUGUGUCAAAUGGGUUCCAUGUCACCCGGGUUCCGUGGCACCUGGGUUCUGUGCCAAAUGGGUUCCUUGUCACCCAGGUUCUUUGUCACCUGGGUUCCAUGUCACCCGGGUUCCGUGUCACCUGUGUUCUGUGCCAACUGGGUUCUGUAUCACCUGGGUUCCAUGUCACCUGGGUUCCGUGUCACCUGGGUUCCGUGUCACCUGGGUUCUGGGUCACCCGGGUUCCAUGUUACCUGGGUUCCAUGUCACCCAGGUUCCGUGCCACCUGGGAUCCGUGUCACUUGGGUUCCGUGUCACCAAGGUUCCAUAUCACCUGGGUUCCGUGUCACCUGGGUUCUGGGUCACCUGGGUUCCAUGUCACUCGGGUUCUGUGUCACCUGUGUCCUGUGCCAACUGGGUUCUGGGUCACCUGGGUUCCACAUCACCUGGGUUCCGUGUCACUUGGGUUCUGUAUCACCUGGGUUCCGUGUCACCUGGGUUCCAUGUCACUGUGUCACCUGGGUUCUGUGCCAAAUGGGUUCCAUGUCACUGUGCCAAAUGGGUUCCUUGUCACCCAGGUUCCGUGUCACCUGUGUUCUGUGUCACCCGGGUUCCGUGUCACCAGUGUUCUGUGCCAAUUGGGUUCCGUGUCACCUGGCUUCCAUGUUACUCUGUCACCUGGGUUCCAUGUCACUCAGGUUCCGUGUCACUGGGCUCUGUGUCACCUGUGCUUUGUGUCACCUGGGUUCCGUGUCACCUGGGUUCCAUGUCACUGUGCCAAAUGGGUUCCGUGUCACCCAGGUUCUGUGUCACCUGGGCUUCGUAUCACCUGGGUUCCGUGUUAUCCGGGUUCCAUGUCACUGUGUCACCUGGGUUCUGUGCCAAAUGGGUUCCAUGUCACCCAGGUUCCGUGUCACUGGGCUCUGUGUCACUUGGGUUCCUUGUCACCUGUGUUCCAUGUCAUAUAG